rnacentral:rRNA from 1 species
AUUGAACGCUGGCGGCAGGCCUAACACAUGCAAGUCGAGCGAGCGGCGGACGGGAGAGUAAUGUCUGGGAAACUGCCUGAUGGAGGGGGAUAAAUACUGGAAACGGUAGCUAAUACCGCAUACCAUCAGAUGUGCCCAGAUGGGAUUAGCGAGUAGGGGGGGUAACGGCUAACCUAGGCGACGAUCCCUAGCUGGUCUGAGAGGAUGACCAGCCACACGGGAACUGAGACACGGGCCAGACUCCUACGUGAGGCAGCAGUGGGGAAUAUUGCACAAUGGGCGCAAGCCUGAUGCAGCCAUGCCGCGUGUGUGAAGAAGGCCUUCGGGUUGUAAAGCACUUUCAUCGGGGAGGCGUUACCCGCAGAAGAAGCACCGGCUAACUCCGUGCCAGCAGCCGCGGUAAUAC